GCCCCGCUCAGAAACUCGAAAGGAAGUUGACGGGGGCCCGCACAAGCGGUGGAGCAUGUGGUUUAAUUCGAUGAUACGCGAGGAACCUUACCUGGGCUCAAAUGUAUGUUGACGUAUUCUGAAAGGGAUACUUCUUCGGACAAUAUACAAGGUGCUGCAUGGUUGUCGUCAGCUCGUGUCGUGAGAUGUUGGGUUAAGUCCCGUAACGAGCGCAACCCUUGUCCUUAGUUACCAGCACGUUAUGGUGGGCACUCUAAGGAGACUGCCGGUGACAAACCGGAGGAAGGUGGGGAUGACGUCAAGUCCUCAUGGCCUUUAUGACCAGGGCUACACACGUACUACAAUGGCCGAUACAAAGGGCAGCGACACUGCGAGGUGAAGCCAAUCCCGUAAAAUCGGUCUCAGUCCGGAUUGGAGUCUGCAACUCGACUCCAUGAAGUUGGAAUCGCUAGUAAUCGUGGAUCAGCAUGCCACGGUGAAUACGUUCCCGGGCCUU
rnacentral:rRNA from 1 species